rnacentral:snRNA from 1 species
GCUUGCUUUGGCAGUGCAUAUACUAAAAUUAGAAUGAUACAGAGAAGAUUAGCAGGGCCCCUGCACAAAGAUGACACCAAAUUUGUGAAGCAUUUUAU